rnacentral:siRNA from 1 species
CAUGUGGAAGUUGCUGUUGAC